UACAAAUAUUCAACCCCCAUCAGCAGCCUAGGCUAGGAGUAUGCAUGGUAUACAGAUUACUCGAAGCCAUAUAAGGCCAUCUUAUUCAAGAUCAAAGUGUGACAUUAGGGGGAAAACUUCAUGCCUCACGCAAUGAGAACAUGAAAUAAAAAAUCUCUACUUGUCUGCAGUCUCUUUCUCGUAUACUUCACUGGCAUACUUCCAGUUAAUAACCUUCCAUACGUUAUUCAGAUAGUCUGGCCUCACAUUUUUGUACUGCAGGUAGUAUGCAUGCUCCCAAACAUCUAUCCCUAGCAAAGGAACUAGAGUUGCUCCUUUGGUCACCAAUGGAUCCUGAUUUGCAGUAGUUUCAACCCUCAUUUUCUUGCUCUCCUUAUCCAAAGCAAGCCACACCCAUCCAGACCCCUGUAAAGCAGCACCUUCUGCAUUGAUCUUUUUCACCAAAGCUUCAAAUGAACCAAAAUCAGUAUCAAUAGCCCAGCCAAGUGCCCCAUGUGGGAGCUCACCACCUCCUUCACUGAUGGGUUUUAGAUUUUUCCAGAAGAUUGUGUGAUUAAUA
rnacentral:misc_RNA from 1 species